GCUUGUGUGGCGGAACUGGUAGACGCGCACGACUCAAAAUCGUGUAACUAUGUUGUGUGGGUUCGAUUCCCACCACAAGCACCA
rnacentral:tRNA from 1 species